UGGGAGAGGAAGAAGCAGGCUCAUAGCGGAGGAGCCUGAUGUGGGGCUCGAUCCCAUAACGCCGGGAUCACGCCCUGAGCCGAAGGCAGACGCUUAACCGCUGUGCCACCCAGGCACCCCAACACUGCAGUUAUUUCUAACCGGAAAUGGAUUUUUGCUACUUCUAAAUUGAAGACUUACAUAAGUUCUCAACAUCAAUUUCCAAUUUAAACAAAAGGAUUAUUACCUCUGGCACUGACAGGUCACUGGGAACAUUAAUAAAGUUAAAAUAGUGAGUUAAAACAUCUUUGUAUAAUUUAGAGAUCUAUUUACUAGUUACACAAAAGUCUUACCAGUGAACAGAAGGAUGUGAAAGAUUAUAAAUAUUGUCCUAACAUAAGUCUAACAGUGAUGAUACAAUGGAUAAAAGCAAAUUAUUGCACUGUUAUUACUUCAGAUGACAUGAAUUUUUGCCAAAAGUAGCAGCUCUCUGAUCAUUACUGAAUAUAGGAAUUUGUACUUAUUAGAUCACUUUUCUCUAAUGAAUUAAUAGCUUAAAUAAUGAUAGAAAUGCAAAAAAAAAAAGUUGCUAGAAUAAGCAGCCAAUUUCUGCUUUGCUUUUUUUAUUUUAAGGAAAUCAACAUUUCUAUCUUCAAACGUAAGACACACUUUUAUAAUCUAUACCCCUUGACAGAUCUGAAUCCCAAAAGGUAGUAUUGGAGAUGUUUAGAACCACAGGAAAAUAACAGGAAACCAAGAUACAGCACACACAUCACAAAAACAAACAGGAUGCUGGCAGCCUAUAAUAGCAUACCUAGAACCCACAACAACCAAAUCACACACUCAUUCUCUUCCAAAACUGUUAAUUCCAAAAUUACAAAAACAGAGGAGAAAAUACUCUCUCCCCUUACUAUUCUUUCUUCUAUUUGGAGAGUCAACUUUAGGAAACCCUUGCGAAGAAACAGCCAUAGGAAUGCAUGCUGUGUAAGGGAAGCAGGGGACAAAUGCCUCGGGCUGGACCACCUGAGUUGCAGCUCUUGUCCAGAAGCCUUCUGAUGACGCCUUUCGAUAAGAUGAAAAAAGCCACAGGAUCACGACUUCCUCCUCGCUGGCAUCCUGUGUCUACUUCUGCUCCUUCUGUUCCAUUACUUCCUGGAGCUGCCAGAAUGGCUUAAGUGACAGGUGGUUUCCUUUGCUAUAGACCACAUGAAGGUCAGUAUUACCUGAGACCCUGCAGAUCCACCUUCUGCCUCGCUCUCUUGCCUAAGCCACGUGGUCUUUGAGUUGCGUAUUUCACUCUCAGCCUUCAAGUUUUGCUCCCGUUAUUCCUUCUUAUCUUUCAGACCUAAUCUCAGUUCUAGGAAGCAUUCUUUAUCCCUCUGCACUCGAUAAACUCAAUCUGCAAGAAGACCUCACAGCUCCCUGUAUUUUCUCUUAAUACUCUUCGUAAUUCGCAGUAUAUGCUUGUGUAAAUUUUUUUUAAAUGUCACCAAUCUCUGCCAGUUGACCGUAGUCUGAGAAUGCAGAGUCACCGCCUAAUUUGCUUGUUGUUACUUCACCAACGCCCAGCCCAGGACCUGAUACAGAAGCUCGAUUAAUGUUACUGAAUGAAUAAAUCCCAGGUUUUGCCAUCUAUCCUUUCUUUUAUCCUUCUAGGACAGCUGGCUGACACAACUGAUGGGGUUGGAAUAAAUGUCUCCUAUGUUUACCAAUAUACCAAGCAUUCUUACUAUAGAUGGGGAAACACUGAAAGACAUAGUCUACAAGGCAAACACUGAGUUCAAAUUUAAACUGCUUUGCAAGAUAAAAGAAGAAUUUACAAGGCUUGGAGACAGAUGACUUGGGAGAAAAGAGAACUGUGGCCUCAAAAAUAUAGCUAGAAGCAAUAUGCUCAGGAGACAUCGAAACUAUGAUAGGAAUUAACUGCUAGAUUGUAGGAGUGACAGUAAUGAUUUUGAAGUUGUUUCCUGUACUAUGAAGCUGUGUAACCCUUUACUGUUAAUACAAAUUCCAAUUCCAAUAAAGCCUUUGUGCACUUGACCUUGUCCAGUGAUGUUUUGUGAAAUGGGAGUAAACCAGGCUGUGUCCAAUGCUGGGAACAGGAGGGAAGAAAGACAUGAGGGGGCGGAGCCUGAGAUCUCAAGAGAGAAUGGCCAAUUGGAAAAGAAUGAAGAGAAAUAACCCUUCAAACUCCGUCUGCUCAGCACAUCCUUGAAAAUUUUCUUCUCCCAGAGAAUCACUCCACUGAAGCCUUACAUCCUUGGGAUAAUGCACAGAAAUGCAUUCAGGGCAAGUACUCUGGAGAACGGCCUCAACUGACUACAAACGUGCUAGAUAGUAGUGAGUCUUCUUUAUACCCAACAACAAAGGGAAGACGGAUCACGGUGAACCAGCAAUGUCUACCCAGUGGCUCAAAGAAAAGUGAAUGGCUAGGUGCGCCUGGGUGGCACAGCGGU